UUUUUUUUUUUUUUUUUUUUUUUGCUAUCCGAAUUAAACGUGAUUAUCUUCGGUGUGCAUUUGGGAUUUGUUGACCGUGACCUUCACCCACGAGGAAAGUGAUCCAAGGAGGAGACAUUCAAGUGUUGCCAUUCUUAUGAUAGGGCCUUGGGCCACGUGGCAAAUCCCAGGGCAAUGGGGAGGGUGUUCCUUAGGCUCGUUGCCCUCCUCUGACAUGGUACCACAGUGGAGGUGAAUGAGUCUGGCUAGGGAAGCCCAGGAGACCCCAACAUGGGGUGGGCCCUCCCCAGAGGGCCGCAAAGUAUCAUGGGCCCAGCACAGACCCCACAGGCCUGGGGUCUGACACCCAAGGCAGCAAAACUAAGAAAACACAAACAUCAGAUCGGAGGCAGGGCUCAAGGACCAGCCUGACCCACACCAGCAGGACAGUGGGGGGGGGCAGGUUGGCCUGUGACCACCACCAAGGAGGCAAUUGGCAAGCAUACCCUAUUUGGAAAUAGGGUCUUUGCAAAUGUGAGGUCCUACUGGAUGAGGCUGGGCCCCAAAUCCUGUUCCUCGUACUCGAGGAAGCUAUAGGACACAGGAGACACAGCGCAUGAGCUAUAGGACUCAGGAGACACAGCGCAUGAGGACAGGCCAGAGAUUGGACACCAAGGACUGCCGGCCACCAUCAGUAGCUGGAAACGACACACGGGAGGGAUCCUCCUCCAGAGCCUCUGCAGGGAGCGCAGCCCUGGCUCCAGGAUAGGAGGAGUGUCUGUCGUCUUUGGCCUCCCCAGUUGUGACCCGGCUGUACAGUCCCAGGGAGCUACUGCGGGCACCUGCGAGGCCUGCCCGCCUGCAAAAGCCGAUUUCUGAAGCAAGGUGGCACCUGCUUACUCCCACAUCUCCAGAGCACCUGGAAGGGUGUGGGCCUAUUUGUCCUCUUGCCACAUGGGAGCUACAGCCAGAGCUUCUCACACAGGUGAGCCCACCAUGGGAACGUGGGGCUCUGCAGACCCUGCUGGAGGCCAAGGCGUCCAGGGCUAAGCAGAUGAGAGUGGAAGGGAGGCACCCUUCCUCCCCGUCCUCCUCCCAACCGGCCUUUCUGCAAAUGGACUCCUCCCACCUUGCCUGACACACCUGGCUCCCUUCCCCCGUGAGCUUGCUCGGACACCUUCACCAGUCAGAGACACACUGAUGAGCUUGCAAGGGGGACAGGGGACUGAACUCUCCAUCUGUCCAUUCAUCCAUCCAACUGUCCAUUUCUCUAUCCACCUGUCUGUCCAUCCAUCCAUGUGUCCAUCCAUCCAUUUGCCCAUUCACAUUUCUAUUCUUCUGUCCAUCUGACCAUCCAUCCUUCAUCCUUCCCAAGCCCAGACACUAACUCCGGAAAUCUCGGCCUCCCUCUAUCAUCCUUGGUAUUACCAUCACAGUCCAGAAACAGAAAAGAGAAAAUCCAGGACUCCUGGUGGGGUGGGGCGAGUGGUGACAGCCAAGCUCCUAGGAGGUGGCUGAGACUAUGGGUGUUCUCAAAGAGCUGGUGGCCCCAGGAAAUUUCCCUGGACGGGGCACAGACCUCUCACUCCCGACCACUGGUCCUACCUACACCUGGCCCACAGGGCUCUUCCCAGGAUCUGGGUCCAGGGAACUGGCAACUCAUCCUUAGGGAAAUUCUCAGGUGUGCCCCUCAGAAGUCCAUUCAGCACAUCAACAGUCCUGGGAGACCUCAUGGGAUGAUGGGAGCGAGCACGACAGAGCCCGGCUGCCAGCUCUGAUGGAGCCCGGGGCAACAGAACCCCAUCUCCACAUCUGUGUGAUGACUGCCCAGACCGUCACCUCCUACCUCCAAUACCUAGUGGGCUGUGUCCCUCGUCUGCGACAGACUCCACAUCUGUCCACAUUCCAUCCACCCCACAGGUGGCUGUUCUCUCAAAUGUGCACCCAGAAAGCACGGUCUGAGACCCCAAAUGCUGUUCGUGGGCUCCCCGAGGACAUAGCUCCUGCACUGCCCAUGUUAAUGGGAGGGGUGCGUGGUCUCUGCUGGUGGCUCCCAGCCAGCCUGUCCCUCUCCCCAGAGUGUCCCUCGAUCCCCACAGCUAGGCCUGGCAGGCCAGGGAGGUGGGAGCAAGGACAUGGGUGUCUGCUCAACCUCAAGGCGGUGGUCCAGGCCCCAGGAGCUUGCGGUAUGGCAUGUGUCUUGCUCACAAGGUGUCUCCCCUGGGCUGGUUCAAGCACUUGUGGGAUGACUGCAGCUGACAAGUGAGCCCUCCUGAGCCUUGGCUGUCCCUCUGUCCUGCAGGAGAGCAGGGCACCUGCGUGGGCGAGCCCCGCACAGAUCCCAUGCCUCAGGGCAUCUUGCUCAGUCAAGUCUGAUUUGAGUCUCUAAUUUAAGGGGUUGUAGAGGUUCAGGAUGCUUUUUGAAAGAAAAAAAUAAAACAGUCACAAGGACAUUUUUAAAGGACCAAAUGGAGUUUUACUUUCUGGCCUCAGCUUGGCCCACAAGUCUCUGCUCUGGCCUCUGCUAGCCUCCUCACUGCUCCUCAAACACUCCUACCUUGCUCCCACCUCAGGACCUUUGCACUUGCCAUCCAUCCCCUUGGACUGGCACACACCUCAGCCCUAUAACCAUAAAGCCCAUGUCCUCACUUUUUUCUGGUUUCUGAUAACCAUCAUUUCCUUGACCACCCAGGCUAGGCCAUCUCACCCCUAUCCAGUCUUAUGUCUUUUUUUUUUUUUUAAUUUUUAUUUAUUUAUGAUAGUCACAGAGAGAGAGAGAGAGAGGCAGAGACACAGGCAGAGGGAGAAGCAGGCUCCAG
rnacentral:lncRNA from 1 species